rnacentral:ncRNA from 1 species
AAGGUAGAGGUGCGGCUGCGAUGAUUAAGCGCGCGGAGGACGACCCGUCCGAUGAAGCACGUUGAAAGGCAAGGCUGCCGAAGAGCGGUAUUUGGUACAUUCCGUUUUGGCUGUAUAUCGAACAGGUCUACAGCUGUCAUCAUGUGUUUGAUGGAGAGCUAUCGCA